UUGGAGGGCAAGUCUGGUGCCAGCAGCCGCGGUAAUUCCAGCUCCAAUAGCGUAUAUUAAAGUUGUUGUGGUUAAAAAGCUCGUAGUUGAACCUUGGGCCUGGCUGGCCGGUCCGCCUCACCGCGUGUACUGGUCCGGCCGGGCCUUUCCCUCUGUGGAACCCCAUGCCCUUCACUGGGUGUGGCGGGGAAACAGGACUUUUACUUUGGAAAAAUUAGAGUGCUCCAGGCAGGCCUAUGCUCGAAUACAUUAGCAUGGAAUAAUAGAAUAGGACGUGUGGUUCUAUUUUGUUGGUUUCUAGGACCGCCGUAAUGAUUAAUAGGGACAGUCGGGGGCAUCAGUAUUCAAUUGUCAGAGGUGAAAUUCUUGGAUUUAUUGAAGACUAACUACUGCGAAAGCAUUUGCCAAGGAUGUUUUCAUUAAUCAGGAACGAAAGUUAGGGGAUCGAAGACGAUCAGAUACCGUCGUAGUCUUAACCAUAAACUAUGCCGACUAGGGAUCGGACGAUGUUAUUUUUUGACUCGUUCGGCACCUUACGGGAAAC
rnacentral:rRNA from 1 species